AUCAUAUUCCCAUUCCAUUUACAGUUUAUAAUCGAACCAUAUUCCUUUCUUCUCUUCUAUUUCUUGUUUUCUGUUUUUUAUUUUUUUUAUUUUAAAAUCUGAGUGUUGAACCGGUCCGGUUUUGUAAACCGGCCGAUUCACCGGUUUUUACCGGUUUCCGCCGAGCCAUGUCGGUUUACACCGGUUUGAUUGCAUGGCCGAUCCAAUAAAUAGAUUGAACCGGACACCCCACCGG
rnacentral:lncRNA from 1 species